AUACGGUGUGGACAAUAGUAUUGGGCCCGUACUACUGAAAGCAUCGGGGCGGUGUACAACCCAUGUAAGAAUCUUUGGAAUGCCAAGGAUCAAGGAGGAAUGAGUUGUUGAGUGUGAGUAUGCUCGAAUGGAUUCUAAUUUAUCGUAUGUUGUAUUUCAGAGGUAGAUCAUGGUGAGGACACGUCUUAUGCCUGAGAGCAGUGGGGCCAGUGAUGAGGAGAUCCGCCGGAUCAUCCAUGAGGAGGUGGCUGCGGCCAUCAGGGCAGAGAUACCAGAGAUGUUCGGGUCUAUUAAGACCACGUUGAUUGAGACCUUCGACGAGCGUUAUGCCGCUCUUUCUGAGGCUGCUGUUGCAGCGGCCACCGCAGCUAUUGCUGCCGCGAGGCCGCAGGGUGGUGAUGCGUUGCUGUUCCGAGAGUUCAGNCGGCCACUGCAGCUAUUGCUGCCGCGAGGCCGCAGGGUGGUGAUGCGUUGCUGUUCCGAGAGUUCAGCAACACAAAACCGCCGGAGUUUGAUGGGACCCAGGACCCGGUGGCGGCUAUGAGAUGGAUUUCUGACAUAGAGGGGU
rnacentral:lncRNA from 1 species